rnacentral:lncRNA from 1 species
AGUUUAGAGGUAAAAAUUUCUACCAUUGGAAGGUAAAAAUAGAGCUUUUGUUGGCAUCUUUGGAUCUUUGGGAUAUUGUAAAUGAAAGUGAAGAGGCUCCUAGCAUAGAUGCUGAUAUGAAGGAGAAGAAAGAGUUCAAAUUUCAUGAAAAGAAGGCUUUUAGAUUGAUUGCAACCAAUAUGGAUGAAGCCAACUUCUCCCA